rnacentral:rRNA from 1 species
UAAGACGAAGGUGGCUAGCGUUGCUCGGAUUUACUGGGCAUAAAGCGCGCGUAGGUGGUCCUGUAAGCGGGGGAUGAAAGCCCAUGGCUCACCCAUGGAACUGUCCCUCGGACUGCAGGGCUGGAGGGCGGGAGGGGAGAAUGGAAUUCCCGGUGUAGCGGUGAAAUGCGUAGAUAUCGGGAGGAACGCCGGUGGCGAAAGCGAUUCUCUGGCCCGUUCCUGACACUGAGGCGCGAAAGCUAGGGGAGCAAACAGGAUUAGAUACCCUGGUAGUCCUAGCUGUAAACGAUGGGCACUGGGUAGAGGGGGUGUCGAUACCGUCUCUGCCGAAGCAAAUGUGUUAAGUGCCCCGCCUGGGGAGUACGGUCGCAAGGCUA